rnacentral:lncRNA from 1 species
UUUCGAGAUUCAAAAGUCCAACCAAACCUCCUACAAUCCUCUUUAACUACUCUCUCCCUUCUUUUCCAAUCGUCUUUUUGUUCUUCUUCAUCUUCUCUUCCUCAAGAAAAUCUUUACUGAACGUCAAGGGAUCGACAGAAGCAUGGAUCGAGAGCAAGAAGAGAUGCAGUUCCUUGGCCUCGUCGGCAUCUGCAAAGAGUCCUGCAAGGUCAUCUUCUCAUGGAGGAAGAUCUUCACCCAGAUCACCUUGGCCCUGAUCCUCCCUCUCGCCUUCGCCUUCCUCCUCCACAUCGAAGUCUCCGACGUCCUCCACAGGCGGAUCAUCCGCAACGCGAUCCAGCUCCACGAGACCCGCCCCGAUAGUUCCCGCCACGACAGGAUCUCCAGCGUCCUCUCCAAGGAGUUGACCGUCUACCUGCUCUUCAAUGCCCUCUACUUCACCGUCCUCCUCGUGUUCUCCCUCCUCUCGACCUCGGCCAUCGUCUACACCAUCGCGUGCAUCUACACCGGCCGCGAGGUCACGUUCCGGAAGGUGAUGAGCGUGGUCCCGAGGGUCUGGAGGCGGCUGAUGGUCACCUUCGUGUGCAUCUUCCUGGCCAUGUUCGUAUACCACUUGGUCGCCAUGAUGAUCCUGUUCGCGUGCGCGAUCUUCAUCGGUGACACGAACUUCGGCAUCCGGAUCUUCUAUUUUCUAGGGAUCCCGUACUUGGUCGGGUUCGUGUACAUGACCAUAGUGUGGCAAUUGGCGAGCGUGGUCUCCGUCCUGGAGGAAGAUUACGGGGUCAAGGCCAUGAUCAAGAGCAAGAACCUGAUAAAGGGCAAGAUGGUUGCGUGCAUAAUCAUAUUCUUCGUACUCACCAUUUCCUACUUCCUAAUUCAAUUCGCGUUCAGGAGGUUGGUCGUCUAUGGCCGCUCGGCAGAGAUGUUAGGCAGGUCUGGCUAUGGAGCUCUGUGUUUCUUUUUUCUUUCCUUGCUGAUGCUGUUGGGGCUCGUCGUCAAGACGGUGAUCUACUUCGUCUGCAAGUCGUACCACCACGAGAACAUCGACAAGUCGGUCCUGUCGGAUCAUCUCGAGGUCUUUCUCGGAGAAUAUGUUCCUCUCAAAUCCAAGGAUGUUCAGCUUGAGCAAUCCGACGUUUGACUCUUCCUUCGUGUUCUUCUUAUCCUUUUUCCUUUUUCUGUUUUUUCUUCCGUGGGACGAGAUAUUUAGAUACUUGAUACCUUAUGCACUAUUAAAAUAUCAAAGCAAAAAUUUUAUUUUCUGUAUCUUGUUUAUCCAUCGGCAAAUGGCUAAGUUAGAUGUAUGCUCUAAUUUUGUAUGAAUAUAUGCAAUAAUUAAGCCGGCCGUCUAUUAUUUUUUGUGUUUGGUGCUCAACCGUGUGGCCGAUUUGAGCCAGUGUCUUUCCCAAGGCGUGUUGACUUUGAAUGAUGGAGUUUUCCAAGUAAUUACGUGGUGCACGCAUAUGUUGACUUUGAAUUCUUCUUUGGCCCCGGAUAAAGAAACAUAUUACGUAGCGAAUGGGGCCACGUGUGCGUGGGAGAUCAGAGGAAAUUACUGGGAAAGUUCUAAACCUUGUGCAACUGUCAAUUUAAUAAAAAACUUUUAAUUUAAGCAAUUGAGUUUUAAUUUUUUUAACAAUUAAUCAAUGCGAUUCAUUUGGCUAAUUUUGGUGGGGAAUCAUUGAUGUAAGCGCUAACCGUCCUAUGUGGCAUGCCAUAGUUAAUGUAUAUAACUUCUUCUUUUUUAAAAAAAAUUUCUUCCCAUAUUUUUUUCUUUUCUUUUUGCCAAUUGUCGGCCAUCACUUGUAAGGGAUGGGCGGGAUUACCCUAGCUUGGGCAAGGGUCAGUUUGGCAUAUUUGGCAAGGGUGGUCCUUGCCCUCACCUAGGCAAGGAGGAUCAGCCUUGCUAAAUUCAACAAAAGAAGCCCUUAUUGGUGCUUGCCCUAGCCCAGGCGAGCCCAGAUGAGGCCAGCACUUGCCGCCCAUCGCUUAUGGUCAAUGAGCGGCAACCAACAACUGACAAAAGGAAAAGGGAAAAAAAUGAUAUUUUUAAUUUUUUUUAAAAAAAUUAUCCAUAUUAGUAUCAAUCAUGCCGUGUUGGACGACCAAGGUCCACGUCAAUGAUUUUCUAGCGAAAUCGGCUUGGGUGGACUACGUUAGUUAAAUUGUCAAAAGAUUUAUGACUAAAUUGAUCAAGUUAAAAAAUUUAUAAUUGAAUGAACAUAAGUGUAAUAGAUUUAUGAUUUUCUUAUUAAUUUCCUUGAGAGAUACAAGGCGAUGAACCUUUUGUAUUAAUUAUCACUAUUCUGUGCUGAAAAGAAACUAAUCUCUUAAAUAUUAAUUUUUGAAAAUUAGCAUUGGUCAAUUUAAAUUUCUUCUUCCAACCAAUUUCAUUGUUUGAGAAACAGGGGGAUACUACUUCAACUUGGGGCAUUCCACUUUGGUAGCUUUGGAAACGCCAUAUUGUAUUUAAAAAAAUGCUAGUCAUGCAGCAAAGAUAACUCCAACCCAUAAUUCCAGCGUGGGGUACAGAAGGCUUUGGAGAAAUCGUUAUUUCAGUCCUACUUCUGUCCUACAAAUUUUAGUUUAGUUCUAAAUUUUUUAAUUAAUCAGAUGUAGUCUUAAACCUUUUANNNNNNNNNNNNNNNNNNNNNNNNNNNNNNNNNNNNNNNNNNNNNNNNNNNNNNNNNNNNNNNNNNNNNNNNNNNNNNNNNNNNNNNNNNNNNNNNNNNNUCGUUCACUACCAAGCUACAUUGUUAUUUCACAACAAAUACAUCUUCUGCCUGCAAUGAUGUAAGGAAUGUUUUUUCUUUUCUUUUUUUGCCUCAAUUUGAAAUAUACAUCGCUGGAAUAAUUACCAAAUGCAUAAUUUCCUCUACGAUUAUGUGCCUUUCAAAAGAUGAGUUUCUCCGAUCUUUCAAUUGUUUUCUCGUUCGCCGUCUUUUUCACAAUAUAAAAUGACAGUGAGUCUGCUAGAGCAUCGUUGCCAUCCUGCUAUAACUUUGUGAUUUAUAUGAUUCUCUAAAUUUAAAAGUCCGCAAAUCUUGCCUAAUCGCCAAAAGCUUUUCCAUCUUCUAUUGAUUACGCUGAGUAUGCAUUGUCCAAAUCGUAUGAUGGUAUAUGAUAAAUCCUUUGUUUAUGCUGAUGUUUACUUUAUACAUACCCAUCAAAUGGAUAAUUUGUGGUUAUUCGAAACCUUUUUAUUCUCAUCAGCAUGGAGAAGCUAGAGAUGUUGGAGUCAUAUUGCCUAUCAAUGUCGAUUCUCCAUUAGUAAUGUUAUUAAGGAUUCAUUCAAUUGUCCAUCAUCGAGUUCUUCUCAUGAUCUGCCCUGCUAUGGAGUUGGAUCCUGCAAUAUUCAUGCGUAGCCGAUGUGAUCCGAUUCAGGCCCUUGAGAAUUACAAACCCGCCACCCAUCUUUCUUCUUCUUGGCCAUUCCGAGGUUCGAUCCCGUGUCUUGUCCCUUGGUCUCCAACCCCGUGCCGCCACGGACCGCCGCGCCCGAUGGCUCUCUGUUUUCUCCAUCUGGGUUUGUCGGAGUCGAGCCGGGUCUUUCGCUUUAGACCCCAAUCAUCAUCCUUUUGCAUGAAGGCCUGCCGUCUUUUGAAGGCCCGUAGCUGGUUCCUAAGACCCAAGCUCGUCGACAGCUCUUUCCGGACCCGGAAAGCUGGCUCCAGAAAAGCAGUUGCCAUAUGAUAAGCGCCACUGAAAAGUGACGGUUGAUACAAAAGAAACUGUUUUGCUCCCGCGGAAAAGCGGUUCCUUGGGGAUUUAUUUAUUGCAGGGGAAGAACUGGAAAGGCAAGUGAAGCUCGUGCUCGUGGGGUUCUCUUCCCUAGUGCCCCAUCAUCUCUCCCUCCCUCCCUCCCUCCCUCCCUCUCUCUCUCUCUCCCCCUCUCUCUCUCUCUCUACCCCUCUACUUUUUCAUUCACAUCUCUUUCAUUGAUUUCUCUGUUCAUUCUGAGCUCUGAACAAGGAGUUCCUCCAACAAGUCCAAUCAUGGUGAAGGAGACCGAGUACUACGACGUUCUCGGCGUCAGCCGUUCUGUCUCCGAUGACGAGAUUCGCAAGGCCUAUUAUCUCAAGGUAAAACAGGCGGUUCUGCUUUCCUUUUCCUGGUUGUUGGAUCGGUUACAUUAGUGACUGAGUCGUGAUUGGUCGAUUCGAAUUUCUUUUCACAACUAUGUUUUAGUAAACUGAGGCUUCUGGGAUUAGUUCCAAAUGUGAUUGAUCUCUGAUUAAUCGAUUCUAGGGAAAAGUACAAAAAAAGUUCUAAACCUAUUGUAUUUGUACUAAUUCAGUCCUAAACUUUUCAAUUGAACUAAUUUAGUCCUAAACCUUUUAAUAUUGGUACCAAUUUAGUCCAUUCGGCCAAUUUUGGCUAGCCGGUGCUGAUGUGGACGUCGGCCGGUGGUCGGACGCUAACGUGGCAAUUUUUAUGUUUUUUUUUUUUUUUCGAAUUUUUUAUUAAUUUUUUCUCUUUCUUUUUUUUUUUCUUUUUCUUUUCCGGUGGUGGUGAGGCUCGUUGGCCUCGCCGACCACUGGGUGAGGGCCGUGAAGCCCUCGCCUACCGCCGGUGAGGGUUGCGGCCCUCGCCCGGCCUCUCCUAGGCCGCCGGCGAGGCGGCUUCGCCCGAAUCUGGGCGAGGCUGGCCUCGCCCAGGUCUUGCCGUGGGCGAAGGUGGCCUCGCCCGCGGCUGGCGAGGCCAUGGAGGCCAUCGCGAAGGCGGAGGCAAGGGCCGUGAAGCCCUCGCCAACCGCUGGAGAGGGUUGCGGCCCUCGGCCCUCGCCUCCGCCCUGGUGAUGGCCGCCUUCACACCAGCAAAGCCGAAAGUGCAGCACAGCGCAAAACUCAGAUUUUUCCAUCCCGCGAAGUGAACCCGCAAAACCCAUUCCUCCUCUCUCUCUCUCUCUCUCUCUCUCUCUCUCUCUCUCUCGCCUUUGCUGAACCCACCAUCUCCCGCAGAAGCUUCGGGAAAUGGUGGAAAGCCCGAUUGAAUCUAGAGAACUUCCCCCUUCUUCUCGCUUCGGAUUGGAGGAGAGCAGGUGGUGGUUGCUUGAUCGGGGGGAGCGAUGGGGGACACGAACGCCGUGGCCGGUAGCCUGACCUGGGUGAGGCCAGCCUCGCCUAGAUCUGAGCGAAGCCGCCUCGCCGACGGCUUGGGAGAGGCCCGGCGAGGGCAGGCGAGGGCUUCAGGGCCCUCGCCCAAUGGCCGGCGAGCCUCACCGGAGGCUGGCCGGCCACCGCCGAAAAAGAAAUGGAAAAAGAAAAAAAUAAUAAGAAAAAAUUAAUAAAAACAUUCGAAAAAAUCAUAAAAAUUGCCACGUUAGCGUCCGGUCACUGACUGACGUCCAUGUCAGCGCCGGCCGAUCAAAAUGGGCCGGAUGAACUAAAUUAGUAUCAAUAUUAAAAGGUUUAUGACUAAAUUGAUCCAAUUAAGAAGUUUAUGACUAAAUUUGUACCAAUACAAUAGAUUUAGGACUUUUUUGGUACUUUUCCCAUUGAUUUUGUUGAAUUGGUUACUCCUGCCCUUUUCCUGAUGGUCGUGUUCAAUAAAUGAAGAAGUCAUUGUCUAGCUGGUCCACUUUUUUUUUUUUUUUCUCAGGUGAUUUCUUCCGAACUGUGAUAAUUAGUAUAAGCGUUUGAGUUAAGUGCACCGGAAGAGUUUGCAGUAGGUGGAUCGCUUGUUACAUGUUCGGUGCGUGGAUUAGGAUUAUUGGAAUACAAAAGAAAGCUGGUUUAGCUUCCCUUCUAUAUUUAUGUCCUCUGUACAGCUCACCUUUUUCAGUUGUCUCUAGAGUCGAGCAAUAAUGUCCAUCCGUCUCGUUGUCACCAAUUUUCAAGGUACAUCAAUUCACAGGAUUUUAUGAUAUUAUGUAUGAAUCGCAUCAUCGAUAACAUAUUUAGAAAUUUUGAAUUUCAAUAUAAAAUAAUACGAAUUAUAUUAAGAGUACCAUGUUAAAUGAUGCGAUAAUUUUUUAUUAAAUAAUAAGAUAUGACAGCUCGUUUACUUAAAAGGCACUUCAUUUAAUGCGUCAAUACGCUUUUUCGUGUAACCAAUUAAGAUGUGUCCCAUCUGAUGCAUUGCCCGUUAACCUAGGUGACCUCACCAGCCUACAGCAUAGACAACAUGUAUGAAAAGAGCCAGCGAUAUUUAUUUGGCAAUCGACAGAAAAAUGAAAUUAGGAUUGGAAUUAAGCAUAUUGACUAGGUCUCUUGCCAAUUAUUUAUUUGACUUUUUUUUUCCCAACUUCGUCGUCAAUCGAUUGGGCGAUGACAUUGACUUGACUUGGGUUUAGGUUUUUUCAAAUGUCUACCAGAGGCAUUUCGAGAUUGAAAAGUCCAGCCAAACCUCCUACAGUCCUCUUCAACUACUCUCUCCCCAUAUCCUUUCUUCCUUCUUCUUCAUCUUCUCUUCCUCGAGAAAAUCUUCACUGAACGUCAAGGGAUCGACAGAAGCAUGGAUCGAGAGCAAGAAGAGAUGCAGUUCCUCGGCCUCGUCGGCAUCUGCAAAGAGUCCUGCAAGGUCAUCUUCUCAUGGAGGAAGAUCUUCAUCCAGAUCACCUUGGCCCUGAUCCUCCCUCUCGCCUUCGUCUUCCUCCUCCACAUCGAAGUCUCCGACGUCCUCUACUGGCGGAUCGUCCGCAACGCGAUCCAGCUCAACGAGACCCGCCCCGAUAGUUCCCGCCACGACAGGAUCUCCAGCGUCCUCUCCAAGGAGUUGACCGUCUACCUGCUCUUCAAUGCCCUCUACUUCACCGUCCUCCUCGUGUUCUCCCUCCUCUCGACCUCGGCCAUCGUCUACACCAUCGCGUGCAUCUACACCGGCC